rnacentral:rRNA from 1 species
CGCGGCCUAUCAGCUUGUUGGUGAGGUAAUGGCUCACCAAGGCGACGACGGGUAGCCGGCCUGAGAGGGCGACCGGCCACACUGGGACUGAGACACGGCCCAGACUCCUACGGGAGGCAGCAGUGGGGAAUAUUGCACAAUGGGCGAAAGCCUGAUGCAGCGACGCCGCGUGAGGGAUGACGGCCUUCGGGUUGUAAACCUCUUUCAGCAGGGAAGAAGCGAAAGUGACGGUACCUGCAGAAGAAGCGCCGGCUAACUACGUGCCAGCAGCCGCGGUAAUACGUAGGGCGCAAGCGUUGUCCGGAAUUAUUGGGCGUAAAGAGCUCGUAGGCGGUCUGUCGCGUCGGAUGUGAAAGCCCGGGGCUUAACCCCGGGUCUGCAUUCGAUACGGGCAGACUAGAGUGUGGUAGGGGAGAUCGGAAUUCCUGGUGUAGCGGUGAAAUGCGCAGAUAUCAGGAGGAACACCGGUGGCGAAGGCGGAUCUCUGGGCCAUUACUGACGCUGAGGAGCGAAAGCGUGGGGAGCGAACAGGAUUAGAUACCCUGGUAGUCCACGCCGUAAACGGUGGGAACUAGGUGUUGGCGACAUUCCACGUCGUCGGUGCCGCAGCUAACGCAUUAAGUUCCCCGCCUGGGGAGUACG